rnacentral:rRNA from 1 species
AUUGAACGCUGGCGGCAUGCCUUACACAUGCAAGUCGAACGGUAACAGGUCUUCGGAUGCUGACGAGUGGCGAACGGGAGAGUAAUACAUCGGAACGUGCCUAGUAGUGGGGGAUAACUACUCGAAAGAGUGGCUAAUACCGCAUGAGAUCUACGGAAGAAAGCAGGGGAUCGCAAGACCUUGUGCUACUAGAGCGGCCGAUGGCAGAUGAGGUAGUUGGUGGGAUAAAAGCUUACCAAGCCGACGAUCUGUAGCUGGUCUGAGAGGACGAUCAGCCACACUGGGACUGAGACACGGCCCAGACUCCUACGGGAGGCAGCAGUGGGGAAUUUUGGACAAUGGGCGCAAGCCUGAUCCAGCAAUGCCGCGUGCAGGAUGAAGGCCUUCGGGUUGUAAACUGCUUUUGUACGGAACGAAAAGCCCCGGGUUAAUACCCUGGGGUCGUGACGGUACCGUAAGAAUAAGCACCGGCUAACUACGUGCCAGCAGCCGCCGUAA